UGUGACCUCAAAUCAGGUAGGACUACCCGCUGAACUUAAGCAUAUCAAUAAGCGGAGGAAAAGAAACUAACAAGGAUUCCCCUAGUAACUGCGAGUGAAGCGGGAAAAGCUCAAAUUUAAAAUCUGGCGGUCUUCUGGCUGUCCGAGUUGUAAUCUAGAGAAGUGUUAUCCGCGCUGGACCAUGUACAAGUCUCCUGGAAUGGAGCAUCAUAGAGGGUGAGAAUCCCGUCUUUGACAUGGACUGCCAGGGCUUUGUGAUGCGCUCUCAAAGAGUCGAGUUGUUUGGGAAUGCAGCUCAAAAUGGGUGGUAAAUUCCAUCUAAAGCUAAAUAUUGGCGAGAGACCGAUAGCGAACAAGUACCGUGAGGGAAAGAUGAAAAGAACUUUGGAAAGAGAGUUAAACAGUACGUGAAAUUGCUGAAAGGGAAACGCUUGAAGUCAGUCGCGUCGUCCAGGGAUCAACCUUGCUUUUGCUUGGUGCACUUCCUGGUUUGACGGGUCAGCAUCAAUUUUGACCAUUGGAAAAAGAUCAAGGGAAUGUGGCAUCUUUGGAUGUGUUUAUAGCCCUUGGUCGCAUACAAUGGUUUGGGAUUGAGGAACUCAGCAUGCCGCAAGGCCGGG
rnacentral:rRNA from 1 species